UCGGGGGGGCUGAAGGGGCAGCAGGCUCAAGGGCAGGUCAGACCUAGCUUUGGGAUGGGGACAGGUCUGGGGGGCACUGGGGAGUAAGGCACGUGUGGGGAAGAAGCAGAGGUUCAGAGUCCCGUGGGGUGCGGGGCUGGGCGUGGUGGGCUCAAGGCGGGGUCAGAAGGGCCUGGAGGUCAGGGCAGGUCCGAGGGCGCAGGAGGAAUAGAGGGUGGUCAGACAGGGCUGAGGGGCAACAGAAUGUCGAGGUGGGCUACGGGGGCAGGCACAACGCCCAGCCUUGGGGUGAGGUCAGGGCUGAGGGUCACCAGGGUGGGGGCAGGGGGUGAUCACAGGUGGCAGGACAGCAAGGGUCAGGGGGGCAGAGGGUGCUGGGGCAUGACAGGCACUAGGAGGGAGUCAGAUCCAGCCAGGGCCAGGGGGGUAGGGCAGCGCAGGCCUAGGGACAUGCCACCACCAUGGGAACGGAGGUUGACCUACGCCCUGCCCCAGAUGCCCCAGAGAGGGCAUGCAGGUAUAACAUCCAUGCACCCCCAGUUCUUCACCUCCUCUCCAGUCUCCAUCUUAUACACCCACGAGCAAUCUCGCUCCCCAAACCACCCUCAUUCCCCCAAGUAGAGGGUGCAAGGGCACCUCAGCACCCCCAAAUCAUCCCCACUCCAUCCUUUCCCCCUGGAAAUACCACCUGGAAUGGGCCAGGCCCCUGGUUCAGGGCUGAUCCAACAGGUAUAUCAUCUGUGAGACACAACCCGGGUGCCUCAGCAGCCUGCAAGACACACAGUCCACUCUUGCCUUUCCAAGGCCAAACUGCCACCACAGUUGGGAAAACAGGCCCCAAAAUUAAUAAAGAUAGGGCUUGUUCCAGCUGGAAUGGAGCAAUUCCAUUGCAGUUCAUUCAGCUCAUUGCAGGCAGCAGGGGCAGGACCCAAAGCGCUGCGGGUGUUGCACCCACUCGCUCCAAGGCUGAAUCAGCUUUCCUAAAAGCAAACAAGCAGGAGAGGGUUGUUGGGAAAGGAAGUGGCCAGGCCUGUCCAAGGGGAGGCAGGCGCGGAUCAGCAAUGGCAGCAGACGUUCGUGGAGCUCGAUAAAGGAUUUGCCAGGGCUGGGAACACAUCCGUCACCUCCCCUUCACUACGUGACAUCGAGCGAUUUAUGACUGAACUGGAACCGACUAGUUUGGCAAAAGGGAUGUGGAGAGGAGCCGGCAAAGCAUCAUGGAAAAACUGCUUCUGCGAGGUGAUGGGGGAAAUUGUGUUAUUUUAAAAUUGCUAAUUUAUUGUACUUUGUUAAGCUGGUGCAGCAAAUGGCUCUGGGAGUGCUGCCUGCUUGUGCAAGCUGCUUUUCCUGUGCUUUAAUCUGUUUUUUUUUCAGCACAAGAGCCACUCCAGUUUCAGCUCCUGCUCUGUAAGUCACAUUUUCAGCAUGAUCAGUGGCAGGAAUUUGUAGAAUAAAUAAUUAAAUAAAUAGUUGUUUGUGUCUGUGUUGGGUUGUGUUUUUAAAGAAAAAAAAAUCCUGGAGUAAAUAUUCCAUCAGCUGGUAGUUAAUUACAGCCAUUUAGGGAACGUUAAUUAGGACCACUUGCAGUGAACAUUGUUCAAGGAGGUUUAAAUUUCAUUUGUGCAUUUCAGUUUGAUUUUGGGUGGAGAGAGGAGGAGUUGUGGGAGCUGUUACACCUAAUAAAGGGACUGACUUACUGAACCCCCCAGCUCUUCUGGACUCCACUGCCCUAAGAAACACCUCCAACUUCAAAGGGAGCAGUUCACCCCCUCAGAGUGCUGGAACUCGACACCAGUAACAGCCAAUCUAUGGUACUGUCCCCCACCUCUGUGUUUUAGGGGUUAUGGGGGAUCAUUUUGGUCUAAUUUUUCCUGUGCUUUUUGACAGUACUUGAUGGGGCACUUACUCCUCCUUCUCCAUACAUUGCCAGGGACUGCAUUGCCAGGUAUCACAAUGCCAUCAGUAUUUCCAUGUAGGCCACCAGAAGAAACUUUUGCUGUCACAGGAUUACAAAAUGGUUUAUGUUGGAAAGGUCCCUAAAGCCCAUCCUGUCCCACCCUCUACCACGUGCAGGAACAUCCACCAGACCAGGUUGCUCUAAGCCCCAUCCAACCUGGCUUUUUACACUUUCAGGAAUGGAGCAGCCACAACCUCUGUCAUUUCCUGAUGGUCGUUUGCUCACUGUCAUUUUCACUGAAAUCACAGACCAAUGUCCCUCUUCUCCUUCCCUCCAGCAGGACCAAAUUCCCAGUGAGAGCCUCCUGGAGAAUCCACUGCAGCCAGGAAUGUUUUCCAAGACAUCCCUUGAUGCACCGCUGAGUUCCAGGCCUGUCGGAGGACCCAUGGCAAUAGCCCUGGGCUCUGUCAGGUCAGCCUAGAACAGGUGGUGACAUCUGAUAAGGAACAGAUAAACUGAGGUUGCACUAUCUUCCUCCUGUGACUCCCCCUCUCCUGCCCUGUAUUCCUCUGAAAUAAUUGGGGUUUCUCUUCUCACUCUCAAAUUCAGGAUUGGGGCACAUCCACUUCAGCACAUUCUGUAAAGGCAGCCCUUGUGUUUUGCAGUCCAAGUGCUCUGCUAGCUCAGCUCUGCUCCUGGAUGUCCAGCAGCUCAUCCUCAGCUGUAGUCACGUCCUUCCUGACACUCCUCUGCUGCACACUCAACUAUGGUCCUCUCCACCUUCAUCCUCCAAAGAGAGCUCAGAGCAACACUUCCAGCUGCAAUUUUCUUUCCAAGAUGCCAAAAUUGCACCUCACAACAGACAUGGCAGCUGGUCCCUUUAUGGCACAGAGAGGGAAGGAAUCGACAAGUUGUAACAGUAUUUCUGGCAGUAAGCAAGAAUUUCAGAGCAGCCUUUAAGGGUCCCACUUGCUGUCAGCAGAGUACAGGACACAGCUCUGAACAGGGAUGCACUGCACAGUCCAGCCUGGUACAACACUUCCAACUGUGCUGUGCUAGCACAUGUGAGAUUGGGCUCCCUGGAACAGCAAAGGUCUCUCAGGUAAAAAUAUAAUUAUCAGCAUUGACAUAUCACACUUGGGACUACUUUUUAUUACACGUUCUCUCCUGGGAACUGAUCCCCCAGGUUUGGAUUCAGCAGAGAAUUGGUGGAGUGUUUUUUUGUUUAUGUUGGUGGUGUUUUUUUUGUUUUGUGAGUUUGUUUGUUUGUUUGUUUUUUCAAUAAGGAAAGCCAACUUAUCACAAGGUGCUUCUGGUCAGAAAGGUUAGUUUGUUUCUGUUCUUACAGGGAAAGGUUUCCUCUUCAAAGUGGCUAGAAUGUGUAAAUAGUUCAUAAUUUUGUACAGGAAAUUUUCUGAUUCAAUUAAAAAUUCUAAUGUCAACUUCUAAGAUACUACUUCCAAAAGCUUAUAAAGCCUCAAAAUGAAAGCAAUGUAAUGUUAGAAAUCAAGAUUCUGUUGACCUCAACUUGGUUUUUCCCAUCAUAUUACAGUUAGGGAGCAAUUUCUGAGUGUUUCACAUUCUGGCCCAGCAAGAGAAGAGACUAUUUGGAUCUCCAAGAAUUCUCAUGUAGGAAAACUCCUCCUCCCAGCCCACCUGAGUGAUGUAUGAAACUAUUCUGUUUUCCCUUUUUCUCAUUAACUUUUUAAGAGCCCCUAAGCUUUGGUCCUUUCAGAGGAGGUCGUUGUGAGCAACAGAGUAUAUACAUGACUGACCAAAUAUUAUCUCAUCCAUGGGGACAAGCCAGCCCUCCUCCAGCAUCAGCUCUGCCAGAUCACUCCUGUGCACAUCCUGCUCUCCAGGUCUCCCAUCAACCCGUGAUAAUGCCUCUGAUUACAUUACUGUGGUAUCUCUCCUCUUGUCUCAGCCUCCUUGGAUGUCAGUAAUAUGCCUAGUACACAGCACUUGUAUCAUGUUUGAAGAACUACUCAGCUGCCACAGCCAUUUUCUUUGUCACUGGAGCUUGGAGCUCCCCUCCACAAGCACAGCAUACUCAGCAAAACAGCAGCAAGCCCUGCCUUCCCACCACAGCUUCUCUGCUAACCCACAGGCUUGUGGAAUACACUAACUGCAUUCUUCCAAGCAUUUCUGUACUGCCAUAAGGUCUGGAAAUCUACUGAUAUAAGGUACAGAACAGAAGAGCUGAGAUUCCUCAGUGGUACUAGGACACAGGCAGCUGGGGACUGGAGAAAACAACAAAUAGCCUGAACCUUUAUAAUGUAAAAGCUGGCAUAACUGAUCUCAAAUCCAAAUAUUUUAUAGCACUGGGGAAAAAAAAACUCCAACCAAAAUCCACAAGAGUACAACACUCAACAGGCUUUUUAAGAUUUUAGCACCACGGGAUGAUGUCACCUCCAGGCAUCACAUCCUGAAGAGGCCUACCCUUGUCUGCACAGUAGAUAUUGUUAGACCUAAUGAGGCAUGAGCUGCCAGUGAAGAUUUUUCUAGGCUUGGGGCAUUCAAAACAUGUCCAUUCAAAACAUGUUGCCCUUGUGCGGAUUCUUGUCUGCUAAGGGUAGGGCUUCUGCCACACUAGGAACAUUAAAAGUGUCUUUCCUCAUUUUCUUUAGGGAGACAACCAGUAUUUGAGUGCCUCAGAGAUAACAUGCCAUUGCUUGACUCCUUCCUGAGGCCAUUCCAGAGUCUCCACCCUCCUACACAAUGGAGUUUAUCUCUGAGGUUGUUCCUGCCCCUCCCUCUGUCUACACCUUCAGGUAUCCCAUUAUGGAGGCUUUGAUACCCAAACCCAGUAGGAAAGCAUCCAGGUCACUCAGCCUUCACAGAAGCAGCAAGCCAUGUGCAGUCUCAGAGCCCUGAUCCAAGGCAACCAGUGUCCUGCUGCUGGAGGAGGAACGCAGCUGUGUGCAGGCACCUGGAAUCAUGCAGCCACCUGGAACUGCGGAGCUGCCAUGGCCCAGCUGAGGGGAAACAAGCCUUGCAGGUAGGAAAGGAACAUCUCUGCCAUCCCAAAGCACACGGUACCGGAAGGAAACAUCCCUGGUUCUGCAAGCAUUUUUAACAAUGUGAUCCUCCUGAACGUGCCAGCAAGUCCUUCCCUGUCCUUGCUCACUCCUGGAUUCCCAGAAUACAAGAGGACUUUAUUCUCAACAGGGAUUGCCCCCUGCUUCUCUUUCUCCUGCAUAAAAUGGGCAAAACUGUGGGAAGAGAUGGGACAGAGUUGAGCUGCAGGCCAUGGCACACACCCGCAGGAGCACAUGGAGCACAAAGAAGCACAUGGCAGCACAGAGAGGCUUGUCUCUGCCUGACCUUGGGGAGAGGAGGUGCCACGUGGCAGAGCCCUGCAGAGAGCAGCCUGCCAGAAGCUGACAGACGGGUGAACAGCCGUGACCACCCCACAGAAGGAUAGUAAGAAAGCGUGUUGCUGACGUGGCCAUGGGUGAUAGGUCACUUAGUGAGAAUUACCAUGUAAGGAAAUACUGUGUCUUGAAGAAGUGUAUAAAACCAGCUUGUUUCUUUGAAUAAAUGAUUCUGAUUUCUUGCUGGUCUGAGUCCAUGCCUCAGUUGUUAAAAAUGGCAUCCCAAAUUGUGACUUGAUGGGCAACUAGUGGUUGUACCAGUAUGGUUGCACCAAUGCUCGGCUGAACUUUACAGGCGGCUGAAACAAAGCCUGGGAGCUGAACCAAUGCUCAGGAGCUGAAACGAAGCUCAUGGUGCCAAUCAACUUUUCUUCAACUGAGGGUAGCAGCUGAGAACGAUGGGGGAUGAACAGAAUGUUGCAGAGACGUUAGAAGAGAUUUUAAAAAAGCACAUUAGGAAAGUUGAAUCUACAGAUUUGGACAUUCUUCUUCUGGGCAAAAGACUGUGAUUCAACUUCAGAUGACACCAGUAUUUUUGACCCUCGGACAUGGGACACUUUUGGGGAUGCACUGUUAUAGGGACGAAGUUAUGCAAGUCAAUGCAGUGCUGACAAAGCUUUUCUGUCCAAGGUGGACUGUGUGCAAGGCACUCAUGGUGCAUGCGGCACCCGCAGACCAGACAAAGAAGGACACUUGUGCCACUGCAGCAGCCAUGCUGACCUCUUCUGCACUGCCAGGAAAUGACCAUUCCAGUCCACGAUGGGUACCUGCAAGAGUGAUCCAACCAGCCUUGGUUGUUCUGGCUUUAUCAUCAGCUUGUGGGGAAGCUGAGAGAACAAGAUGAAUGGAGCUUGUUUGGUUUGGGUUGUGGGCCAAUGCCAAUGUUGGAAUGUUCUAAUGUUGGGAGUGUUUCAUUUAGUGAUUCUUGUUCAUAUAAAACAAAAACCAGGGAGUUGUGGUCAGAGAAGGAUGGAGUUGAGCUGCAGGCCAUGGCACACACCCGCAGGAGCACAUGGAGCACAAAGAAGCACAUGGCAGCACAGAGAGGCUUGUCUCUGCCUGACCUUGGGGAGAGGAGGUGCCAUGUGGCAGAGCCCUGCAGAGAGCAGCCUGCCAGAAGCUGACAGACGGGUGAACAGCCGUGACCACCCCACAGAAGGAUAGUAAGAAAGCGUGUUGCUGACGUGGCCAUGGGUGAUAGGUCACUUAGUGAGAAUUACCAUGUAAGGAAAUACUGUGUCUUGAAGAAGUGUAUAAAACCAGCUUGUUUCUUUGAAUAACAAUUCUGAUUCCUUGAUGGUCUGAGUCCGUGCCUCAGUUGUUACACAUAAUAACAUUCUACCUUACAGGGCCUUGGAAAGCCUUAUUUAGACAAUAAAGGCUCUAAGAUUUGUGUAAGAGGAAAAUUAAAUCAACAUCCUAUUGUAAAGUUGGAGUUACUGCACACACUUUUUUCUAAGUAUAUUCAGCCUCUUUGUGAAUGUCUGCAAAUACAUUCCAGCCUUCCUAACGAGGCUCAUCUCAGUAGGGAAGAAGUCACUUGCAGUUGUGGAAAAGUCAGAUUUAAUUUUCUGCAUAACCUCCAUUGACCUCUUCACAUCCACUAUUGGCACUGAAUGUGGAAAAAGCUAUGUGGCUGUAUAAUUACAGAGUGCAGUGAGGUGGCCCUGCCCAGGUACUGCUCCCCAGGUGAGGGGGAUAUGCAGCAUGCCUUGAGCCUGGUCCCAGGGAUGAAGAAAGAGUCUGAGGGGAGAUCAGGCAAUUUAAUCUCCA